rnacentral:lncRNA from 1 species
GAGAUAAAAGUGCAGUCCUGUGCCUGGGCCUGCCACCUGGGCCAGAGCUUGUGACAUUUCAAUUUCCAAAUCCCCAUAUCACCAAGACCAAUGGCCUGGUGGCCAGCAGCACCGGGCAGUGACAACAAGUCUCUAACACUGUGAUAAGGCCAUGGACGAGCCAUGUGCAGAGGGAGCAAGAAGUCACCAACUCACAGGACAACCCUCAGGCCCUGGGCUCCCCAGGGUGUCCUCCAUGACUUGGACAAGGACCACCCGCACCCAGGCCAAGACCUGAGCACAGAGGCUCCUAUGAGGAGCCCUCUUCAGCCUUCCACGGUGUGAGCGGCCGUCCCCUUGCGGCUCCCCGGGCUCAGGUGCACCCUCUCUAGCUGGGAGCCUCAGAGUGACUUUCCUCCCCAGCCGCCCCAGCCAAGAGCACCUGGGGACCCAGCAGCUCACUCCUACCUGCACGGCACAGUGAGCCCAUGACCAGCCACCAAGCCAAGGGCACUCGAGCCCGUGGAGAAGCAGCCAGUGGCCAGAUGCCCUGAGCACUCCUCAGGCACCUGUGGGGACCCAGGCCAAGGGGCUCUUUUUGGGGCCCAGGCCAUGCUGGUGGGCAGCAGAGGCCAUCUCUGGUCCUCUGAAUCUGCAUCUCCCCCAUGGGCAGUGAUGCAAAGCGUCUUCUCCUUCACCUGGGGUCCACUCGUGUGUCUCCUGGGGAGAAAUGUCUGCUCAAGACUUUUGCCAGUUGGCACAUCUGGACGUGGUGCCCCAAGGCAUGGACCUGAACAUGCACCAAGGAGUCCCUGGUCACCUGACCCACCUCCUCUGCUCAUUGUCUUGGAAUCUCAUGACAAUCCACCUGUCUCUUUCCUCUUGUCACCUGUGCCUUUAGGUCAUUAGCCAAGGGAUCAGCACCAGGUCCACAAGGGCAGUUUUCCUGUUUUCCCUCAGGUUCCGGCAGGUUCUGCCUGUACAGCUAGAUCUUAGACCCACUUGGGGUUGGUUCCUGCACCAGGUGUCAGGGAGGGUACAGCUCCCUUCUUUGGCACAUGGACAUCCAGUUCUCCCAGGACCGUUUGUGGAAGGGACCGUCCUUCCCACUGAAUAGCCUGGGCACUGUUGUUGAAAGUCAACUGACCGCAAGCUCCAGGGCUUAUUCUGGGCUCGCCACUCUGUCCCCAGGGCCUGUGCAUCUGUCUGGGUGCCAGCACCUGGUGCUCAGGUGACCGAGGCAGUUUGGUGAGGUCGGAAUCAGGACGUGUGAGGCCUCCAGCUCUGGUCCUCUUUCUAGGGUUGCUUUGCUAAGUGGGUCCUGGAGCUUCGAGGUGAGUUUUAGAACAGAUCUUUCUAGUUCUAUGUAAACUGCAUCAGGGUCCUGGCAGGGAUAGUGUUGACCCUACCAUCGCCUUGGCUCCUACUGACAUCUGAAUGGGCAACUCGCUCCUCCUGCCACCAACCAGGCACCUGUCUAGAGCAAGAGGUCUCUACAGCAAAGCAGAUGUCCACUUCCAAGAGUCCAGCUCUGUGCCGUCCAUACUGCAGCCAUAGGCCACAGGGGGCCAUUUAAAUGAGCACUAAAACUCAGCUCCUCAUCACACCAGCCACAUCCCACGUCCUCAGUAGCAGUUUAUGGCUGGUGUCUGUCUAUUGCAUGUAGCUCACAGGACACUGUCACCAUUCCAGAAAGUUCUGUUGGGUGAUGCUAUUCUAGUCAGGUGGUAAGAGGCCAGAAACACAGUGUGAAAAUCCUAAAUGCUUACAUUUACA